rnacentral:rRNA from 1 species
UGGGGAAUAUUGGACAAUGGGGGAAACCCUGAUCCAGCGACGCCGCGUGGGUGAAGAAGGCCUGCGGGUUGUAAAGCCCUUUCAGUGAGGAAGAAAAGUCUCGUCCUAAUACGACGGGAUCUUGACGUAACUCAUAGAAGAAGCACCGGCUAACUCUGUGCCAGCAGCCGCGGUAAUACAGAGGGUGCGAGCGUUAAUCGGAAUUACUGGGCGUAAAGCGCGCGUAGGCGGCUUUGCAAGUCGGGUGUGAAAUCCCCAAGCUCAACUUGGGAACUGCAUUCGAGACUGCUUUGCUAGAGUAUGGGAGAGGGAAGUGGAAUUUCAGGUGUAGCGGUGAAAUGCGUAGAUAUCUGAAGGAACAUCAGUGGCGAAAGCGACUUCCUGGACCAAUACUGACGCUCAGGUGCGAAAGCGUGGGGAGCAAACAG